rnacentral:rRNA from 1 species
CAGUAGCCGCGGUAAUACAGAGGGUGCGAGCGUUAAUCGGAUUUACUGGGCGUAAAGCGUGCGUAGGCGGUGGUUUAAGUCCGUUGUGAAAGCCCUGGGCUCAACCUGGGAAUUGCAGUGGAUACUGGGUCACUAGAGUGUGGUAGAGGAUAGUGGAAUUUCCGGUGUAGCAGUGAAAUGCGUAGAGAUCGGAAGGAACAUCUGUGGCGAAGGCGGCCAUCUGGGACAACACUGACGCUGAGGCACGAAAGCGUGGGGAGCAAACAGGAUUAGAUACCCCAGUAGUCCCUGUCUCUUAUAC